AGAGAGAGACAUGCGCGCAUAUCAAUAAGCGGAGGAAAAGAAACUAACAAGGAUUCCCUUAGUAACGGCGAGUGAAGCGGGAAGAGCUCAAAUUUGAAAUCUUCAAGGUCUUUACCUUGACGAAUUGUAGUCUAAAGAAGUGUUUUCUGCUGAAGUUUUGGUAAAAGUUCUUUGGAAUAGGACAUCAUAGAGGGUGAGGAAUCCCGUAUUUGACCAUUAUUUUCAGCUUUGUGAUACACUUUCAAAGAGUCGGAUUGUUUGGGAAUGCAGUCCAAAAUGGGUGGUAAAUUUCAUCUAAAGCUAAAUACUGGCGAGAGACCGAUAGCGAACAAGUACCGUGAGGGAAAGAUGAAAAGAACCUUGAAAAGAGAGUUAAACAGUACGUGAAAUUGUCAAAAGGGAAGCGUUUGACACCAGUGUUGUUUUCUCGAAAAUCAAUUAAAAAUGGCUCGAUUUUGUAUUGCUUGAGACCUUAAAAGCUCACUGUACAUUUUUCGUGUCUUUUUUAAUGCACUUUUCGUUUAACAAGUCAACAUCAGUUUCUUUUGUUGUAAAAGGGUCAUUGGAAGGUGGCUUUCUUUUCGGAGAAAGUGUUUAUAGCCUUUGGCCUCUGCAAUCGGAGAGACAGAGGUCUGCAGCGUAGACUCUUCGGGGUUAGAUACAUUUGUGCUAAGUUAUAGCUUUUUAUAGACAACUUGUUGACUAUAAUUAGUCUUGUAGCUUACUCGCUUAUGCUAUUUUACCUACGCUUAGGAUGUUGAGUCGUAGAGCACGCAG
rnacentral:rRNA from 1 species